UCCCAUUGAACCCGAAACAUGGAUUUAGACAGAAUCAGUGACCAGAGAUAUUUUACUAUCAACCGCACACAUAAGCAUUAACCCUCUAGCUCUAUACGCGUGCUUUCUCUCUCACUCGCUCUUAGAGCACUAUAUAAAUUCGCUUCAACGCUAUCAUCCCUUCAAACGUUCAUUUUUCUGCCUUGGGGAACACCACAAACACGGACUUUAGGAAUCGUUUCGUUUCAGGAGCCCAAAUCGAAGAACAGAAGAAAGAAUGAA
rnacentral:misc_RNA from 1 species